GGAAGUCGCCAGUUUGCCCAUCAUAGUGGGCACACAGCAGACCAGUCGAUGGAGCCUGACGGGAAUCGGAAACUGGCUGGUAUGCAAACUGGCCAGGCAGGCGUGAGGACAAACGAAAGCGAUGUGUUUUCUUGGGAGGCCGGUAGCGGGGCAGCAAGCGUCCAGCUGGACGCGGGAAAUGUUGCAGAAAUUACAAGCGCUAUGCUGAUAAGAUGCACAAACGCGAGAGAUGUUGACGAGCGGGAAAUCAUCAACCAGUGUCUGCGACGCAUAAAGACUUGGACCGACGCCACUAAAGUGCUGUUUUUGAAAACUUUACUGGAAACGUACUUCGGAGCACAAUCAGAAAAGACCA